GAACGUACCCUUCGGUUCGGAACAACCCAGGGAAACUUGGGCUAAUACCGGAUACGUCCGAAAGGAGAAAGAUUUAUCGCCGAAGGAUCGGCCCGCGUCUGAUUAGCUAGUUGGUGGGGUAAUGGCCCACCAAGGCGACGAUCAGUAGCUGGUCUGAGAGGAUGAUCAGCCUCACUGGGACUGAGACACGGCCCAGACUCCUACGGGAGGCAGCAGUGGGGAAUAUUGGACAAUGGGCGCAAGCCUGAUCCAGCCAUGCCGCGUGGGUGAUGAAGGCCCUAGGGUUGUAAAGCCCUUUCGGCGGGGAAGAUAAUGACGGUACCCGCAGAAGAAGCCCCGGCUAACUUCGUGCCAGCAGCCGCGGUAAUACGAAGGGGGCUAGCGUUGCUCGGAAUCACUGGGCGUAAAGCGUGCGCAGGCGGCUCCUUAAGUCAGAUGUGAAAGCCCCGGGCUUAACCUGGGAACUGCGUUUGAAACUGGGGAGCUGGAGUGUAGAAGAGGGGGGUGGAAUUCCAGGUGUAGCAGUGAAAUGCGUAGAGAUCUGGAGGAACACCGAUGGCGAAGGCAGCCCCCUGGGCUAACACUGACGCUCAUGCACG
rnacentral:rRNA from 1 species